CUUGGUCAUUUAGAGGAAGUAAAAGUCGUAACAAGGUUUCCGUAGGUGAACCUGCGGAAGGAUCAUUAAAGAAUGCCCCGUUUUUUGAAAUGGGUUCUGUUCCCAAACCGUGUAUACAUACUUUUGUUGCUUUGGCAGGCCGCCUUCGGGCGUCGGCUCACGCUGACAGCGCCUGCCAGAGGACCCAAACUCGUUUGUUUAGUGAUGUCUGAGUACUAUAUAAUAGUUAAAACUUUCAACAACGGAUCUCUUGGUUCUGGCAUCGAUGAAGAACGCAGCGAAAUGCGAUAAGUAAUGUGAAUUGCAGAAUUCAGUGAAUCAUCGAAUCUUUGAACGCACAUUGCGCCCCUUGGUAUUCCGAGGGGCAUGCCUGUUCGAGCGUCAUUAUGACCACUCAAGCCUAGCUUGGUAUUGGGGUUCGCGGUCCCGCGGCCCUUAAAAUCAGUGGCGGUGCCGUCUGGCUCUAAGCGUAGUAAUACUUUUCGCUAUAGGGUUUAGUCGUUCACCCGCCAGAACCCCCCAACUUUCUUAGGUUGACCUCGGAUCAGGUAGGGAUACCCGCUGAACUUAAGCAUAUCAAUAAGCGGAGGAA
rnacentral:sRNA from 1 species